UACGCAGGGGGCUAGCGUUGUUCGGAAUUACUGGGUGUAAAGCGCGUGUAGGCGGGCCGUUAAGUCGGGGGUGAAAGCCCAGAGCUCAACUCUGGAAUUGCAUUCGAUACUGGCGGUCUGGAGCAUGAUAGAGGCGAGUGGAAUUGCGAGUGUAGAGGUGAAAUUCGUAGAUAUUCGCAGGAACACCAGUGGCGAAGGCGACUCGCUGGAUCAUUGCUGACGCUGAGACGCGAAAGCGUGGGGAGCAAACAGG
rnacentral:rRNA from 1 species